UUGGCCUACGGGGGGCGGCAGUGAGGAAUAUUGGUCAAUGGCCGCAGGGCUGAACCAGCCAAGUCGCGUGAGGGAUGACGGUCCUAUGGAUUGUAAACCUCUUUUGUCAGGGAGCAAAGAGAGUCACGUGUGGCUCAUUGAGAGUACCCGAAGAAAAAGCAUCGGCUAACUCCGUGCCAGCAGCCGCGGUAAUACGGAGGAUGCGAGCGUUAUCCGGAUUUAUUGGGUUUAAAGGGUGCGCAGGCGGAGGUGCAAGUCAGUGGUCUAAUUGCGGGGCUCAACCCCGUACUGCCGUUGAAACUGCA
rnacentral:rRNA from 1 species